UGGGGGAUAUUGCACAAUGGGCGAAAGCCUGAUGCAGCGACGCCGCGUGGGGGAUGAAGGCCUUCGGGUUGUAAACUUCUUUUGCUCUGAACAAGGCGCACCAUGGGGUGUGUUGAGUGUAGGGGUUGAUUAGCGCCGGCUAACUACGUGCCAGCAGCCGCGGUAAUACGUAGGGCGCGAGCGUUGUCCGGAAUUAUUGGGCGUAAAGGGCUUGUAGGUGGCUGGUUGCGUCUGUCGUGAAAGCUCAUGGCUUAACUGUGGGUUUGCGGUGGGUCCGGGCUGGCUUGAGUGCAGUAGGGGAGGCUGGAAUUCCUGGUGUAGCGGUGGAAUGCGCAGAUAUCAGGAGGAAUACCGGUGGCGAAGGCGGGUCUCUGGGCUGUUACUGACACUGAGGAGCGAAAGCAUGGGGAGCGAACAGG
rnacentral:rRNA from 1 species